rnacentral:tRNA from 1 species
GGGAUUGUGGCUCAGUGGUAGAGUGCUUGCCUUGCAUGCAUGAGGCCCUGGGUUCAAUUCAACACCA